ACUUUUUUCUCUCUUUUUUUUUUAUCGUACUAUAACAGUAUAUGCGCCCGUGUAGUUCCAAUCCCUCGCACUAUUCGUAUCUCAUAUUGUUUCCGUUUCAAUAGUUGUGUUAUCACCUAUUGUUAUGAUAGCGCAGACAGAAAAAAAUUCUCAAGACGCAUUAACCAUAAGCACCGUGAACGAAAUUAUAUUUUAUCGAAGUCAUGAAUACCUAUUUUCGAAUAUUCUCCUAAACUACAUUAUACUUGCGCUAUGAUAAUAAUUGUCAUGAGAAAAUAUAUCAAGCAACGGUUGUGAGAAACACCUGU